CACUUAGGUGAUGAUGGAUGCAGAGAUAUGUCAAAAGGCCCUCUCUGAGCAAGGCACAGGCAGGAGCCUUCCAUCACCCAGGUGUUGGGCCCAGUGAUAUGUCACAAUACCUAAAAUAUGUGGGGCCUGGGCAAAAGGAGAGUCCCAUCAUCUGGGUUAUGCAUCCAGUGACAUGACACAAUCCCCGCUUUUAGCUGGACUCAGGUAGAAGAGGAGAGUCACAUCUCUUAGGUGAUAAAUGAAAAGAUAAGCCACAAUAUCCCUGAGGAUGGGGCCCAUGCAGGAGAGUCCUACCACCUAGGUGUGGGACCCAGCAAUGUGUCACAAUACACCCAGUAUGCAGGGCCUGGGCAGGAGAAGAGAGUCAUAUCACCUAGCUGCUGGUCCCAGUGAGACAUCGCAGUCCCUCCUUGGGCAGAGUCAAGCAGUAGAAAAGAGUUAUAUCACCUAGGUGCUGCAUCCAGCAAUAUGUCACUAUAUACCCUGAGGGAUGGGCCCAGGCAGGAGAGUCACAUCACCUAGGUGAGGAGUCUAGAGAUAUGUCACAAGGCCCCCUGUGGGCAGGGGUCAGGAAGAAGAGGUGAGUCACAUAACCCAGGGGCUGGGUCCAGUAAUAUGUCACAAUGACCCAGUGGGAUGGGCCCAGGCAUGAAAGGAGAGUCACAUCACAUAGGUGCUGGACCAAGCAAUACAUCAACAUUCCCACUGUGAACCAAGCAAUACAUCACCAUUCUCACCAAGCAAGACAUCACCAUUCCCACAGGAGAAAGAGGAGAGUCAGGUCAUCAAGGUGAUGGGCCCAGAGAUAUGUGACAAUGACCCCUGUGGGCAGGGACCAGGCAGAAGAAUCACAUUUCCCUUGUGCUUGACCCAGCAAUAAAUCACUCUCUAUUCUGUGGGUAUGGUCCAGUUAGAGAGCAGAGUCCCAUCACCUAGGUGCUGGGCCCAGAGAUACGUCACAAUCUCUUCGAUGAACAAAGCCCAGAUACACUCAACCACAGAUCCUAUUAACUGGCAACCUGAAGGUUUAUGCACCUUGAGGACUGCUGAACACCUUGACACAGCUAGCUCGUGCAUCUAAGAGAUUGACUGAGGCAGCAGCUUUGAAAUACUUCUUCAACUACUGCAAAGACUGCAAGAUAUCCAUUAAAGCACAAUUUACUUCAUCAGCAAGCCUUCUGCAAG
rnacentral:lncRNA from 13 species